CCUACGGGCGGCUGCAGUGAGGAAUAUUGGUCAAUGGGAGAGAUCCUGAACCAGCCAAGCCGCGUGAGGGAAGACGGCCCUAUGGGUUGUAAACCUCUUUUGUCGGAGAACAAAACCAGGGACGUGUCCCGGACUGCGUGUACCCGAAGAAAAAGGAUCGGCUAACUCCGUGCCAGCAGCCGCGGUAAUACGGAGGAUGCGAGCGUUAUCCGGAUUUAUUGGGUUUAAAGGGUGCGUAGGUGGUCCGUUAAGUCAGCGGGAAAAUUUGGGGGCUAAACCCCAUCGAGCCGUUGAAACUGGCAGACUUGAGUUGGCGAGAGGUAGGCGGAAUGCGCGGUGUAGCGGUGAAAUGCAUAGAUAUCACGCAGAACUCCGAUUGCGAAGGCAGCGUAC
rnacentral:rRNA from 1 species